AUCGAAAACUUUGUGUAGAAAGACGAGUUUAGAGUGAAAUUCCACUGGACGGUUCUACCAGAAGGGACGCUAAUACGUCCAGCAGCGCGGUAAUCGUAGUCCCGAGCGUGUCCGGAUUUUUGGCGUAAGCGAGGCAGGGGUUAGAAAGUCUGAAGUAAAGGCUGGGUUAACCAUAGUCGCUUGGAAACUGUUAACUGAGUCAAGAGGGAGAGUGAAUUCCAUGGUAGCGGGAAAUGCGUAGAUUAUGGAGGAACACCGGUGGCGAAAGCGGCUCUCUGGUUUGUAACUGACGCUGAGGCUCGAAAGCGUGGGGAGCAAACAGGAUUAGAUACCCUGGUAGUCCACGCCGUAAACGAUGAGUGCUAGGUGUUAGACCCUUUCCGGGGUUUAGUGCCGCAGCUAACGCAUUAAGCACUCCGCCUGGGGAGUACGACCGCAAGGUUGAAACUCAAAGGAAUUGACGGGGGCCCGCACAAGCGGUGGAGCAUGUGGUUUAAUUUGAAGCAACGCGAAGAACCUUACCAGGUCUUGACAUCCCUUUGACCGCUCUAGAGAUAGAGUUUUCCUUCGGGACAGAGGUGACAGGUGGUGCAUGGUUGUUGUCAGCUCGUGUCGUGAGAUGUUGGGUUAAGUCCCGCAACGAGCGCAACCCCUAUUGUUAGUUGCCAUCAUUCAGUUGGGCACUCUAGCGAGACUGCCGGUAAUAAACCGGAGGAAGGUGGGGAUGACGUCAAAUCAUCAUGCCCCUUAUGACCUGGGCUACACACGUGCUACAAUGGGUGGUACAACGAGUCGCAAGCCGGUGACGGCAAGCUAAUUUUUUAAAGCCCGUUUCAGUUCGGAUUGUAGGCUGCAACUUGCCUACAUGAAGUCGGAAUCGCUAGUAAUCGCGGAUCAGCACGCCGCGGUGAAUACGUUCCCGGGCUUUGUACACACCGCCCGUCACACCACGAGAGUUUGUAACACCCGAAGUCGGUGAGGUAACCCUUUAGGAGCCAGCCGCCU
rnacentral:rRNA from 1 species